rnacentral:rRNA from 1 species
GGGACACGUGGUAUCCUGUCUGAAUAUGGGGGGACCAUCCUCCAAGGCUAAAUACUCCUGACUGACCGAUAGUGAACCAGUACCGUGAGGGAAAGGCGAAAAGAACCCCGGCGAGGGGAGUGAAAAAGAACCUGAAACCGUGUACGUACAAGCAGUGGGAGCACGCUUAGGCGUGUGACUGCGUACCUUUUGUAUAAUGGGUCAGCGACUUAUAUUCUGUAGCAAGGUUAACCGAAUAGGGGAGCCGAAGGGAAACCGAGUCUUAACUGGGCGUUAAGUUGCAGGGUAUAGACCCGAAACCCGGUGAUCUAGCCAUGGGCAGGUUGAAGGUUGGGUAACACUAACUGGAGGACCGAACCGACUAAUGUUGAAAAAUUAGCGGAUGACUUGUGGCUGGGGGUGAAAGGCCAAUCAAACCGGGAGAUAGCUGGUUCUCCCCGAAAGCUAUUUAGGUAGCGCCUCGUGAAUUCAUCUCCGGGGGUAGAGCACUGUUUCGGCAAGGGGGUCAUCCCGACUUACCAACCCGAUGCAAACUGCGAAUACCGGAGAAUGUUAUCACGGGAGACACACGGCGGGUGCUAACGUCCGUCGUGAAGAGGGAAACAACCCAGACCGCCAGCUAAGGUCCCAAAGUCAUGGUUAAGUGGGAAACGAUGUGGGAAGGCCCAGACAGCCAGGAUGUUGGCUUAGAAGCAGCCAUCAUUUAAAGAAAGCGUAAUAGCUCACUGGUCGAGUCGGCCUGCGCGGAAGAUGUAACGGGGCUAAACCAUGCACCGAAGCUGCGGCAGCGACACUGUGUGUUGUUGGGUAGGGGAGC